GUUGAUAUCUAAGAUUUAUAGACUACAGGGAUCCUCAAAAAGAAUGUGUCUUGUAAGGGAAUCCGGGCCAUCCACCGAUUUGGCUUCGGGUAGGUGCUAUCCGUGCGGCAACAUCGCCAUCCGUGCACCAAACGGAUAGACCUUUAAGCGAUAGAAGUCGAUGCGGGUUGAGUUUAAGAUAUUAGGUUCAAGAAUUUGGUUAACAGAUCAAAAUGGUGAUGUUGUUUAGACCAUGUGUUUGGAAGACUGCCUCUUUGAUAUUUGUUUAUUAAAUUUUAAGAUGUUAGGUUUUUGAGGGUGUUUCAUGUUGUGCAUCUCAUUUUUAGUGUUCGUCUACAUAGCGUGUUACCAGAUUAUGACUGAUUUUACAUCAUGUUGUGCAUCUCAUUUUUAGUGUUCGGCUACAUAGUGUGUUACCGGAUUAUGACUAAUUUUACAUAAAU
rnacentral:lncRNA from 1 species